AAAUAAGUGACGGCGAAGUUGGCGACUCAUCAGCGGACUGGCCGAUAAUGAGGCUCCUCCAACGAGAUCAUUGGUCGAUAUAUCCAACGGAACAACAUAGAUAUGCAGAUGACGAGACUGAGCCUCGAGCAGGUACCGAUCAGUGUGUUCUAUCAACUGCAAAUCAGGACAUUGGGGUAGAUGUCAUUCCUUGUGUCUUGCGGAUUUGGCCGAAACCGGCCUUUUCAUUGGCGAAUUGUCAACUGCAUCAUAGCAAAGGAACCUCUCUGUCACUUUCCAGAAGUCAAAACUCACAGCUGGACAUAUGAGCACCAAGCUUGGUGGUCAGCUGGUUACCAUGCCGCGGGGGCGGAACUAUAAACUAUGGCUUGAUUGAUCCAAAAAGAAGCUCGUUAUACGAAGAUCUGCCCAAAAGUAACGAACGAGGGUAGGAGGAAGAUAAAGAGGACGAAGAGAGGAAGAUGGGGAAGUAGUUUUGGUGUGUCGAGGAGAGAGAGGGAGGAAAAAAGGAGAGCGGAAGAGAGGACGAGAGAGAGGACCUUGCGAAGAGGCGUAGGGAAAGAAGAGAUACGAGCGCAGGAUACAGGAAAGUGUGGUAAAGAUGAAUCAACUCGUAGAGAUAUAAAAGGCGUAGCCAUCCGAGUAGAUAAAAUGUAUUGCACAAGCAGCU
rnacentral:sRNA from 1 species